rnacentral:rRNA from 1 species
GACGAACGCUGGCGGCGUGCUUAACACAUGCAAGUCGAACGGAAAGGCCCUGCUUUUGUGGGGUGCUCGAGUGGCGAACGGGUGAGUAACACGUGAGUAACCUGCCCUUGACUUUGGGAUAACUUCAGGAAACUGGGGCUAAUACCGGAUAGGAGCUCCUGCUGCAUGGUGGGGGUUGGAAAGUUUCGGCGGUUGGGGCUGGACUCGCGGCUUAUCAGCUUGUUGGUGGGGUAGUGGCUUACCAAGGCUUUGACGGGUAGCCGGCCUGAGAGGGUGACCGGCCACAUUGGGACUGAGAUACGGCCCAGACGCAUACGGGAGGCAGCAGUGGGAAUAUUGCACAAUGGGCGGAAGCCUGAUGCAGCAACGCCGCGUGCGGGAUGACGGCCUUCGGGUUGUAAACCGCUUUCGCCUGUGACGAAGCGUGAGUGACGGUAAUGGGUAAAGAAGCACCGGCUAACUACGUG